GAUGAACGCUAGCUACAGGCUUAACACAUGCAAGUCGAGGGGCAGCAUGAACUUAGCUUGCUAAGUUUGAUGGCGACCGGCGCACGGGUGAGUAACACGUAUCCAACCUGCCGAUGACUCGGGGAUAGCCUUUCGAAAGAAAGAUUAAUACCCGAUGGCAUAGUUCUUCCGCAUGGUAGAACUAUUAAAGAAUUUCGGUCAUCGAUGGGGAUGCGUUCCAUUAGGUUGUUGGCGGGGUAACGGCCCACCAAGCCUUCGAUGGAUAGGGGUUCUGAGAGGAAGGUCCCCCGCAUUGGAACUGAGACACGGUCCAAACUCCUACGGGAGGCAGCAGUGAGGAAUAUUGGUCAAUGGACGAGAGUCUGAACCAGCCAAGUAGCGUGAAGGAUGACUGCCCUAUGGGUUGUAAACUU
rnacentral:rRNA from 1 species